rnacentral:rRNA from 1 species
UACGUAGGGGGCAAGCGUUGUCCGGAUUUAUUGGGCGUAAAGAGCGUGUAGGCGGCCAGGUAGGUCCGUUGUGAAAGUCCAGGGCUCAACCCUGGGAUGCCGGUGGAUACUGUCGGGCUCGAGUCCGGAAGAGGCGAGUGGAAUUCCUGGUGUAGCGGUGGAAUGCGUAGAGAUCCGGAAGAACACCGGAGGCGAAGGCGGCUUGCUGGGCAUGGUCUGACGCUGAGGCGCGAAAGCGUGGGGAGCGAACAGG